rnacentral:rRNA from 1 species
CUAGAGCGGCGCACGGGUGAGUAACGCGUACAUACUGCCUAUACUGGGGAUAGUCUUGGGAAACUGAGAAUAAUCCCGCAUGUGAUUAGAAUGCUGCAUGGCAAAUUAAUUAAAGCUGAGGCGGUAUAGAUGGGUGUGCGUCUGAUUACUAUUGGUAUGUAACGGACUACCAAGGCGGUGAUCAUAGGGGCGUGAAGCGUGACCCCCCACACGGGUACUGAGACACGGACCCGACUCCUACGGGAGGCAGCAGUAAGGAAUAUUGGUCAAUGGAGGGAACUCUAAGCCAGCCAUCCCGCGUGAAGGAUGAAGGGGCUCUGCCUUGUAAACUUCUUUUGCAUGGGACGAAAAAACUUAAUUUAUUAAGGACUGACGGUACCAUGAGAAUAAGCACCGGCUAACUCCGUGCCAGCAGCCGCGGUAAUACGGAGGGUGCGAGCGUUAUCCGGAAUCACUGGGUUUAAAGGGUGCGUAGGCGGUUUGAUAAGUCCAGUGGCGAAAGGCCGGUCCGCUUAACCGAUGGGGGACUUGGCCAUUGGAUUACUUGGUUAGACUUUGAAAUUCCAGGAUUGAGGGUUGGGGGGAAAUUGUGGGCAUUUG